GGAGGGGUGUGGAGAAUGGUAUUCCAGCGGUCUUGAAAACCGUCGCGCGCAAGCGCUUGCAGGUUCGAGUCCUGUCCCCUCCG
rnacentral:tRNA from 1 species